rnacentral:rRNA from 1 species
UACGAAGGGGGCUAGCGUUGUUCGGAAUUACUGGGCGUAAAGCGCGCGCAGGCGGUCUUUCAAGUCAGUGGUGAAAGCCCGGAGCUCAACUCCGGAAUUGCCAUUGAAACUGUAAGACUUGAGGAUGAGAGAGGUGAGUGGAAUUCCCAGUGUAGAGGUGAAAUUCGUAGAUAUUGGGAAGAACACCGGUGGCGAAGGCGGCUCACUGGCUCAUUUCUGACGCUCAGGCGCGACAGCGUGGGGAU